rnacentral:rRNA from 1 species
UAGGGAAUAUUGCACAAUGGAGGAAACUCUGAUGCAGCGACGCCGCGUGAGUGAUGAAGGACUUCGGUUCGUAAAGCUCUGUCGUAUGGGAAUAAGAAAGUGAAUGUACCAUGCAAGAAAGGAUCGGCUAACUUCGUGCCAGCAGCCGCGGUAAGACGAGGGAUCCUAGCGUUGUUCGGAAUCAUUGGGCGUAAAGCGGAUGUAGGUGGCUUUGUAAGUCAGGUGUGAAAGCCCCGGGCUCAACCCGGGAAGUGCAUUUGAUACUGCGAAGCUUGAGUGCUAGAGAGGUUACUAGAAUACCUGGUGUAGUGGUGAAAUACGUAGAUAUCAGGUGGAAUACCGGAGGCGAAGGCGGGUAACCAGCUAGACACUGACACUCAGAUCCGAAAGUGUGGGGAUCAAACA